UUAAUCAUAAAAAAGAGGAGGAGGAGGCAGCGGCGGUGCGGAUGCCGCGCGACGGCGUCGCUCAAGGCCUCGAGGUCGAGGCUGUGCUGGCGACCGAGGCAGCGUGGGAGCAGCGGGACGCUAUUCCCUCAACAUGGACCUGGACUCGCCACAGCUUCUCUCGAAGCAAGGAGCCGAUGGGAUUACAUUGCUAAGAAAAGGGAUGGUUCCAGGCUACAUGUGGAUUGGGAUUAGAUCGACAUGAAUAUUUCAUUCUUGGAGGGAUAACCUAGAUGGUGAAGAACAAUCUUUACAAGUACCUGCUGCAAAUCCCUUUGAAGAUAGCAAUGACAGAAUCAAUAGGUUAGUUGCCAUGCAUAAAAGUUUAUCAGAAGCAAAUAAGGCAUCACUGCUGUCUCAAGUCAAGAAGCGAAAGAGGUCAACUUCAGCAGUUGAUGCUUCAAAUACUGUACAUAUAAGCGAAACAGAUCAACUUCAGCAGUUAACUAGCUCUCCCACUCUGAUCUCUCCAGUUCAGAACAGAAGCAAAAGAGUUGGGUCAAAGAAAUCACUUGUUUGGAAGCAUUUUGAUACAGGAUUAAGGGGCCAGGAUCCUAUUGCAACAUGCAAAUAUUGCAGGCAAGUAUAUGCUUGCAAUAGAUCAACUCAUGGAACCAGCACCCUAUGGCACCAUCUAAGGUUCUUAUGCUAGCAAGAGCCACUCAAGGGCCAGGACUUGCAAAGGAAGAACCAAGGAACACCGAAACAUUCUUUUAGCAUCGAAGAUUGUCGCAAAGCACUUGCAGAGGUGGUAAUAAUUGAUGAGAUGCCUUUUAAAUCUGUCGAAGGUGAGGGAUUCAAACGAUAUUCCAAAGUACUGCAACCCAGAUUUGAAAUCCCUUCUAGAAUCACAGUAGCAAGAGAUUGUAUGCAGCGAUAUGUUGAAGAAAAACCCAAGUUAAAGAAGAUUUUGAAUAAUCACAGAAUCUGCCUAACAACAGAUACCUGGACCUCGAAACAAAAUUUAAGUUAUAUGGUUCUCACUGCUCACUGGAUUGAUGAUGACUGGAAGCUGCAAAGACGGAUCCUUAAUUUUUGUUCAGUAGCAGAUCACAAAGGAGAAACUCUUGGGAAAAGGGUUGAAGAAUGUUUGUUGGACUAGGGUAUUGAUCGCAUAUUCACUAUCACGGUUGACAAUGCAUGUCCUAAUGACAAGUUAAUUGAAUACUAAUGGGGUAGCAAAGAUUGGAAUGGAGUUGUGUUAAAGAACAAAUUUCUUCAUGUGAGGUGCUGCGUUCAUAUUGUCAACCUAGUUGUGAAGAGUGGACUGGAAGAACACAAUGACUCUGUCGAAAGAAUAAGAACAACAGUAAAAUUUGUGAGGUCUUUACCUUCAAGGUUGAAGAUUUUCAAGAAAUGUGCAGAAUUGGAAAAGAUAUCAACCAGAAGUCUUUUGUCCUCAGAUCUGGAGACGAGAUGGAAUGCUACCUACCUUAUGUUGGACAAUGCAGAAAAGUUCGAGAAGGCUUUUGCAAGACUGGAUAAAGUGUGCAGACCUUUCAGAGCUUAUUUUGCCAACAAAGAUCCUCCCACUGCAGAUGAUUAGCAAACCGCAAGGCGCAUAUUCUGUUUCUUGAAACUAAUUGAAAAGGUCACAACUCGCCUCUCCGCUUCUUUACAUGUAACAUCAAGUAUAGUUUUUCAUGACAUAAUGUUGAUGCGCGCAAAAUUAAGUGAAUUUGCUGGUGGAGAAGAUCCAACAUUAUCUUCGAUGGCGUAUCUGAUGAAACUAAAAUUUGAGAAAUAUUGGGAAACAGAAGGCAAUCUGAACUACUUAUUGUUCAUUGCUGUCAUUUUGGAUCUGAGAUACAAGCUUAAAUAUUUGGGAUAUUGCUUAGAACUUCUGUAUGGAUCAUGUGGGGGCAAGAAAUUUGCUGAGAAAAUUGAAUCAGCUCUCAAUGAAUUAUUUGGUUCCUAUGUGAAAACUGUCAAUGACUCUUCUUCUUCUAUCAAUAGAGGAUCAAAUCAAGCUCCAAUUCAAAUCAAUGUAAACGAAGAGUACGAAGAGAACCCGUGGGAUAUGCUAGCUACUACCCAAGCUACUAAAUUUGAACAACAUAUGGAGGAGAUUGAAUAUGAAUCAAGUGGGUCAGAAUGAUCAAGGUAUCUAGCUGAUAAACGUGAGAAGAUAACUAAGGAGUUUGAUAUAUUGGAAUAUUGGAAAGUGAACUCCAAUAAAUAUCCAAUAUUAUCUCUUUUGGCAAAGGAUGUGCUAGCUGUUCCUGCUUCUACAGUGCCUUCAGAAUAUGCUUUUAGCACAGGUGGAAGGAUUAUCGAUCUCCUCAGAUGCAGUCUAUCAACUGACACAGUUGAAGCUUUAAUUUGUUCACAAAGUUGGCUACAAACAUCACAAAGAAAAUUAAGUGUAAGAGAGGCUGCUGGAGAGGUCUGGGCAUACGAGGAGAUUAGAGAAGAGUUUGUUUCGAAGGACUGCACUGAUAAGCAACACCAUAUUGAUUUCAUUGAGCUGGACACAUAGCCAAUUGAUGCAAGUAUGAGAGUAUUAUUGGUUAUGCUGGUCUAAAGGCAGCAUCAAUUUUGUUUAUAUUUUGGUUAUGUUAAAUUAUUGUUUAGGCCCCUGCUAUCAGAAAUCCUGAAUUGAACUGGCAGAUAUCUCACCUACACAACAUGAACAGUACCCUAGCCA